UUGUGCUUGCUUCAGCUGCACAAAUAUUGCAAAUUGGAAUGAUAAAGAGAAGAUUAUCAUGGCCUCUGUGCAAGGAUGACAUGCAAAUGAACUGUCUGAUAUUUUU
rnacentral:snRNA from 1 species